CAAUAGCGUAUAUUUAAGUUGUUGCAGUUAAAACGCUCGUAGUCGGAUUUUGGCUGAGAACGAACGGUCCGCCGUUAGGUGUGCACUGUUUGGUCUCAGCUUCCUGGUGAGGAGGUGUGCUUCACGGCCACUUAGUCACCGUGGUUACUUUGAAAAAAUUAGAGUGUUCAAAGCGGGCUUACGCUUGAAUAUAUUAGCAUGGAAUAACACCAUAGGACUCCUGUCCUAUUUCGUUGGUCUCGGGACGGGAGUAAUGAUUAAGAGGAACAGUUGGGGGCAUUCGUAUUUCAUUGUCAGAGGUGAAAUUCUUGGAUUUAUGAAAGACGAACUUCUGCGAAAGCAUUUGCCAAGGAUGUUUUCAUUGA
rnacentral:rRNA from 1 species